rnacentral:lncRNA from 1 species
AAGCAGCCAUCUUGGACCAUAGGUGAAAGCAGCAUUUUGGGGAUAGUGGAAACUCAAGAAAGAGGCAGCCAGGUUUCUGGUAGUCAUGGAGAUGUCAUACCAGCCUGAAUUGCCUGUGUUUAUUGCAUGUGAGAAAGAGGAAGACUUUUACCUUAUUUGCCUUAUUAUUACCUAAACAUUUGCCUUACUUAAGCCAUUGAUAUUUGAGGAAGUCUGUCCCUUGCGACUGAAACUAAUCCUAACACAAAAGGAAACAGAGGCUCAGAGAAGCUAAGACAUUUGCACAGGACCACAGCUGGGCUGAGAAGAAAAAUUGAAUACUGAUGAGAAAGAAGAUGGAUAGAAGAGAGAGACAUGCAACUGGGACUCUAACAGAAAUGCCAUUCUCCCUGGGAAGGGACUAGCCCAGUCAGCAGCCACCUCACUCCAUGAGUUGGUUCUGAGGCACCCUCUGUGCCAGGCAGCUCGGGACACAAGGUGAAUUAGAUCCAACCUCACAGCCAUGUGAGGCAGACAGAGUGACACAGACUCUGUCACCAGAAGAGCAAGCAUUUGAACGGGCUGUCAGAUGGAGAGCCCAAGCACUUUCUGCUCUAGGUUCCCUCCCUCUGCUGCAGUUGGGAGAGGCUGGGCUGGGAAGCCCACAUGAGCCGUUGCAGCUCCCUGCAAGGGACUCUCACCUCCUCUCUCAGGCCUCCUCUCCCUGGGCUCCUGGCCUGGCCCUUCACACCUUUCUCCAACUCCAUCAUGACUGCAGGCUUUGGCCUUCCCUCAGGAAAAGAACGAAUUUUUCUCCACAAAAUUCUAUAAUCUCUUCCAGCCUCUCCUUUUAGCUACUGUCAUAUCCAUUCACCUAAGUGAUAACAGAAGACCACAAGUCAGAUGACUCAUAUAUUCACCUAUUCAAUAAACACUCCAGAGCAUUCCUCUGGCCUAGGACUGAUGAGUCUCACAAUCUUCUAAGCAAAAAAUAGAACAAAAAACAAAAAAACCUGCCAGAC